GUGAACCUUGAAUUACUACAUAUAUAAACAAUGGGAAUUAUUGUUAUUGGUGGAUACUGAUAAGGGUUUUUACAUAGCUUCCUCUGUUCCUGUUUCUUUUGCAUUCUUUCAAUGGGAAAGUUUCCAAAACCAGUCAAUGGUUUUGAUCUUCCAUGGUUUUAAACCCCCAGCAUUUGCACCCUUUCCUAAACGAUAAGAUUCGCCCACAGAUCCUCUCACCAAUCACUCUAUAAAUAAAUACCAAGUUCACAACUUUAACCCAAUUAGGCUUCAUUUCAAAUUUAACUGUUUCACUUUUAUCUAAAUCUAUGGCACCUACUGCUGCAAUGCUCAUGCUCUCCCACAAUGGCAACCCACAUGCCCCAUCAUCAUCAUCGUCAUCUCUCACAACCACAACUUUUUCUACGUUGAAAGACUCUGUACUCAAAUGGGUUGUCAAACACAACCCUUUAGCCCAACCAGGAUCAGAGAAAAACAUCAUUCAAACUCAAAAGUAUUGCAUGUUUCAUCCUUCUGCUGUAGAAAAGAGAAGGCGAUGAGUGUUCGGUGGAGCAAACAUUGGGAGGCAAGGAUCCUGCUGCGUAGGUUAGGACCGCUCGGUCAUCAGUUGUAUAUAGUUUUAGAUUGGACCGAUCGGUCAAUAGACUUAGAUUAUCUUUUGUAAACCAAUCGGUUUAUACAGGGUGUUGUAUAACUGUUCGGUUUAUGUCUAUAUUUUGUAUCAAACUUGUGGUACUCUGUAAAGUGUUUUUAGUUUUAUGAUUAUUUUUGGAUAACUAUAAUGAUAAUCUAUGAUAUAGUAUUAUGCUA